rnacentral:tRNA from 1 species
GGGCCGCUAGCUCAUCUGGUAGAGCACCGCCCUUUUAAGGCGGGUGUGGCAGGUUCGAGUCCUGCGCGGCUCACCA